rnacentral:lncRNA from 1 species
GAGGGAGGCAUCAAUGUGCAGAGGCCGGAGAGUGAGUGUCUCUUACCUCACUCCACCUUCUUCUCUGAGGCAAGGCCACUCACUGAACCCACAGCCUAUUGAUCUGACCGGUCUACUGUUGCCCCAGGGACUCUGCUCUGCCUCAUUUCACCUGUUUGCUGGUAAUCACAGCAUUCAUUGGUUAACCAGGCCAUCUCUCCAGCCCCGUGCAAAUGCUCUCCUCAAGUGGCGGCCUGAGUAUUUCCCGUCAUAGUGGCACAGGUCUUCUAGUCUAUAGUUUAUGAUAACCUGUAUUUCAGAUCUCUUAGCUGAUGGCCAGACCCUAGCAGGUAUAAUUUUUAAGACUACUUUUCUUAUUUUGGAGCCUGUAGCACGUUAGUUGUUAAGACUUUUAACUUUAUAUUCUCUGCCCUGACUCCUUGUUUAGGGGAAGCUUUUGGUUUUUGUUUUCUGGUAGUACUGAGGAUGGGUCUGAGACCUAGAGCAGGCUAGCAAGCAUUGAUGCAUAGCUCCACUCCUGUCCCACUGUAGCUUUCACUUAUUUGGGUUGUUGUUGUUGUUGUUGUUGUUGUUGUUGUUGUUUUUGUUUUUGUUUUGAGAGAGUGUCUCAUUUUGUAGCUUUAGGCUGCUUGGAACUUAGUAUGUAGACCAGGCUGGCCUCAAACUUAGAGCACUCAUAAUGCCUCUGACUUCCAGUGCCACUAGUCCCGACUUGGAUGAAGUUUUUAUGUGACUUAUCUUCAGAUUCUGCAUCUAAAAGCAUCAAAACUUACAGAGAAUAACAGCAUAAAACCCUCUUCCCCUCAGGUGUCUUCAGCACAUGUAAGGGUGACCUCUUAGAAGUUAAAGACGGCAAUGUGAAGACCCAGCCUGCAGUCCUAGAGAAUCUGGUCUUCUUUGUUGAGACUAUUUCUAUCGUCCUUUGGGUGUCCAGCUACUGUGAGAGUGUCUUGCGACCAUACAAAUUAAAUAUUCAGAAAAAGAAAAAGAAGAAAAAAGAAA